rnacentral:rRNA from 1 species
AUUGAACGCUGGCGGCAGGCUUAACACAUGCAAGUCGAACGAGUGGCGGACGGGUGAGUAAUGUCUGGGAAUCUGGCUUAUGGAGGGGGAUAACUACUGGAAACUGUAGCUAAUACCGCAUACCAUAGGAUGAGCCCAAGUGGGAUUAGGUUGUUGGUGAGGUAACGGCUCACCAAGCCGACGAUCUCUAGCUGGUCUGAGAGGAUGACCAGCCACACUGGGACGGAGACACGGCCCAGACUCCUACGGGAGGCAGCAGUGGGGAAUAUUGCACAAUGGGGGCAACCCUGACGCAGCCAUGCCGCGUGAAUGAAGAAGGCCUUCGGGUUGUAAAGUACUUUCGGUAGCGAGGCGUUAACUACAGAAGAAGCACCGGCUAACUCCGUGCCAGCAGCCGCGGUAAUAC